CUUUAUUGGAGAGUUUGAUCCUGGCUCAGGAUGAACGCUGGCGGCGUGCCUAAUACAUGCAAGUCGAGCGAAUGGAUUAAGAGCUUGCUCUUAUGAAGUUAGCGGCGGACGGGUGAGUAACACGUGGGUAACCUGCCCAUAAGACUGGGAUAACUCCGGG
rnacentral:rRNA from 1 species